AUUGAACGCUGGCGGCAUGCCUAACACAUGCAAGUCGGGCGGCAGCGGGGGCUUCGGCCUGCCGGCGAGCGGCGGACGGGUGAGUAAAGCAUCGGAACAUGUCCAUGUCGUGGGGGAUAGCCCGGCGAAAGCCGGAUUAAUACCGCAUACGCCCGAGAGGGGAAAGUGGGGGACCGCAAGGCCUCACGCGAUUGGGUUGGCCGAUGUCCGAUUAGCUAGUUGGCGGGGUAAGAGCCCACCAAGGCGAUGAUCGGUAGCUGGUCUGAGAGGAUGAUCAGCCACACUGGGACUGAGACACGGCCCAGACUCCUACGGGAGGCAGCAGUGGGGAAUUUUGGACAAUGGGGGCAACCCUGAUCCAGCCAUUCCGCGUGAGUGAAGAAGGCCUUCGGGUUGUAAAGCUCUUUUGUCCGGAACGAAACGGUUACGGUGAAUACCCGUGACUACUGACGGUACCGGAAGAAUAAGCACCGGCUAACUACGUGCCAGCAGCCGCAGUAAAAC
rnacentral:rRNA from 1 species